rnacentral:tRNA from 1 species
GGGCGCGCAGUGGUAGCGCGUCCGCUUUGCAAGCGGAAGGCCCCGGGUUCAAUCCCCGGUGUGUCCA